rnacentral:rRNA from 1 species
GAUGAACGCUAGCGGGAGGCCUAACACAUGCAAGCCGAGCGGUAUUUGUUCUUCGGGACAGAGAGAGCGGCGUACGGGUGCGGAACACGUGUGCAACCUGCCUUUAUCUGGGGGAUAGCCUUUCGAAAGGAAGAUUAAUACCCCAUAAUAUAUAGACUGGCAUCAGUUUAUAUUGAAAACUCCGGUGGAUAGAGAUGGGCACGCGCAAGAUUAGAUAGUUGGUGAGGUAACGGCUCACCAAGUCAGUGAUCUUUAGGGGGCCUGAGAGGGUGAUCCCCCACACUGGUACUGAGACACGGACCAGACUCCUACGGGAGGCAGCAGUGAGGAAUAUUGGACAAUGGGUGAGAGCCUGAUCCAGCCAUCCCGCGUGAAGGACUAAGGCCCUAUGGGUUGUAAACUUCUUUUAUACUGGGAUAAACCUACUUACGUGUAAGUAGCUGAAGGUACAGUAUGAAUAAGCACCGGCUAACUCCGUGCCAGCAGCCGCGGUAAUACGGAGGGUGCAAGCGUUAUCCGGAUUUAUUGGGUUUAAAGGGUCCGUAGGCGGAUCUGUAAGUCAGUGGUGAAAUCUCAUAGCUUAACUAUGAAACUGCCAUUGAUACUGCAGGUCUUGAGUGAGAUUGAGGUAGCUGGAAUAAGUAGUGUAGCGGUGAAAUGCAUAGAUAUUACUUAGAACACCAAUUGCGAAGGCAGGUUACCAAGUCUUAACUGACGCUGAUGGACGAAAGCGUGGGGAGCGAACAGGAUUAGAUACCCUGGUAGUCCACGCCGUAAACGAUGCUAACUCGUUUUUGGGGCUUUGGCUUCAGAGACUAAGCGAAAGUGAUAAGUUAGCCACCUGGGGAGUACGAUCGCAAGAUUGAAACUCAAAGGAAUUGACGGGGGCCCGCACAAGCGGUGGAGCAUGUGGUUUAAUUCGAUGAUACGCGAGGAACCUUACCAAGACUUAAAUGGGAAAUGACAGGUUUAGAAAUAGAUCCUUCUUCGGACAUUUUUCAAGGUGCUGCAUGGUUGUCGUCAGCUCGUGCCGUGAGGUGUUAGGUUAAGUCCUGCAACGAGCGCAACCCCUGUCACUAGUUGCUAACAUUAAGUUGAGGACUCUAGUGAGACUGCCUACGCAAGUAGAGAGGAAGGUGGGGAUGACGUCAAAUCAUCACGGCCCUUACGUCUUGGGCCACACACGUGCUACAAUGGCCAGUACAGAGGGCAGCUACCAGGUGACUGGAUGCGAAUCUCGAAAGCUGGUCUCAGUUCGGAUUGGAGUCUGCAACUCGACUCUAUGAAGCUGGAAUCGCUAGUAAUCGCGCAUCAGCCAUGGCGCGGUGAAUACGUUCCCGGGCCU